rnacentral:rRNA from 1 species
UACGGAGGGUGCGAGCGUUGUCCGGAAUCACUGGGCGUAAAGGGCGCGUAGGCGGCCUGAUAAGUAGGGGGUGAAAUCCUGCGGCUUAACCGCAGGGCUGCCUUCUAAACUUUCUGGCUAGAGUCCGGAAGGGGCGAGUGGAAUUCCUGGUGUAGCGGUGAAAUGCGCAGAUAUCAGGAGGAACACCUAUGGCGAAGGCAGCUCGCUGGGACGGUACUGACGCUGAGGCGCGAAAGCGUGGGGAGCAAACAGG